AGAGGGUCGAGUGGGGCCUGAGCGGGAACUGGAGCUCGAGCUGGGAGCCGGGCGGCAAGGGCGGAGCCGGAGGACGCCUAGGCGUGUCGAGGCGAGCCUGAGCGAGCCGCGGCGGCCCAGGGCGCUUUUAUAGCCGAGCUGGGAUCUUUCUCUGUCACUUAGGAUCCCUGAAACUCCUGGCUCAAGGGGUCCUCUGGUUAGCUUCUCAAGUCAUUGGGAUUACAGAUGUAAACCUUUGUACUCAGAAACAGAACAUUUCCCACUGAUGAAUAGUAUACUCUCAAUGGAAGAAUUGUAUGGCAUGUGAAUUACAUCUUAAUAAAGCUAUUUUUAAAAAGAUUUUCGUCCUGGCACAGAGGUUCAUGCCUGUAAUCCUAGCACUCUGGGACGCUGAGGCAAUAGGAUCGUUUGAGGUUAGGAGUUCCAGACCAGCCUGAGCAAGAGUGAGACCCAAUCUCUACUAAAAAUAGAAAAAAUUAGCCAGGCAUGAUGGCAGGCAUCUAUAGUCCCACCUACUUGGGAGGUUGAAGCAGAAGGAUAAAUUGAGCUUAGGAGUUUUGAGGUCAUGCUGAGCUAUGAUGACACCAUACACUACUGGGACCUGAUCAAACUAAAAAGCUUCUGCACAGCCAAAAACAGUAAGUAAAGCAAGCAGACAGCCAUCAGAAUGGGAGAAGAUAUUUGCAGGUUAUGUCUCUGACAAAGGUUUAAUAACCAGAAUCCACAGAGAACUCAAACAUAUAAGCAAGAAAAGAAGUGAUCCCAUCUCAGGCUGGGCAAGGGACUUGAAGAGAAACUUCUCUGAAGAAGACAGGUGCAUGGCAUAUAGACAUAUGAAAAAAUGCUCAUCAUCCUUAAUCAUCAGAGAAAUGCAAAUCAAAACUACUUUGAGAUAUCAUCUAACUCCAGUAAGAUUAGCCCAUAUCACAAAAUCCCAAGACCAGAGAUGUUGGCGUGGAUGUGGAGAAAAGGGAACACUUCUACACUGCUGGUAGGAAUGCAAAUUAAUACAUUUCUUUUGGAAAGAUGUUUGGAGAACACUUAGAGAUCUAAAAAUAGACUUGCCAUUCGAUGCUACAAUUCCUCUACUAGGUAUAUACCCAGACGAUCAAAAAUCACAUUAUAACGAAGAUAUUUGUACUAGAAUGUUUAUUGCAGCCCAAUUCAUAAUUGCUAAGUCAUGGAAAAAGCCCAAGUGCCUAUCAAUCCAUGAAUGGAUUAAUAAAUUGUGGUAUGUGUACACCGUGGAAUAUUAUGCAGCUUUAAAGAAAUAUGGAGACUUUACCUCUUUCAUGUUUACAUGGAUGGAGCUGUAACAUAUUCUUAGUAAAGUAUCUCAAGAAUGGAAGAAAAAGUAUCCAAUGUACUCAGCCCUACUAUCAAACUAAUUUAUGUUAUAGCUUUAUAACCCCAUUAUAA